UUUGAGAACACAAAAAUAAAUAUUAGGAAGUGCUACACUGCCAUGUUUGCUUUGGAGAGUCUUUUAGAUAAUGGGAAUUAGUUUUCAAAACAAGAACACUGGCAAAUCAUAGCAGAGGUCUGAGUUGGAAAAAUGGUAAUUGCACUGCUUUGAACCUUGUGCAUAUAUUAACAGUGAUUAAAUGUCACCACGAUAAGCAUGUGCAUAAUAGCUUCUUGAAACAGAUCAAAGUAAGAAACCUCUGGGAUAGUUGGUGUAGAGAUUCUAAGAUUACUGGGCAGUUGUGACAUUCUGGCCUGAGUCCUGCACAGCCCAAGCUGUGUUAUUUCCUUGUUUGUUAUUUGAAUUGCAAUAUAUCUUUAUUUAUUUAUUUAUUUGUUUAUUUUAAGGAAUCUGAUUUUUGAGGUUGCCUUCAUUAAAGAAUCAGCUGCUAAGAAGCUCCCUAUUUAUUGUGGCUGCCAAUAAUUGUAUCUGGUUUCUAGUUUGAGUUAUCUCCUGCUUCCAGCCUCAGACUUUUGUUGGAUCUCUAGUGCCCAGGGUGAGAAGCCAUUCCCAAGAUCAUCCCCGUGAGUAAUGUCAGACCAAGCCAUAGGUGAAACAUCGAGGAGAAUUUCUGGAGGGUGUACAUUGCCACAACACCAAGGCCAUCAUGAUAGAGGACAGCCACUGAAAAGACCAGUGAUGCUCUCUGUGCUGCCCCUUCUUCCUAUGCACCUGAUAGAUGUGCAACUAAGGGAGGUCCAAACAUGGAUGUCUAAAGCCACAUCUACCUGCUUAAUCCUGCUAUUUAAAGAGCUAAGAGUCAUCAUGGGAGCACUGCUUCUUUCAUUUGCAACUGCUCACAGUACUGGAUAUCCAGAGUCCUGCUGAAGGAUGAUGCAGUUUAUCAAACUUUGCAUGGUAACCUAAAAUCACGGCCAUUUUGCUGGGAAACACAGACCUGCAAAAUGCAGUGAUUCAGCAUCUGCAUCUUAAGCUAUUGAAUUUCACUGCCGGGAUGUCUAAGAGCUGGCAGCAGGAGUGAUCAGACUCCUAAGGCUAUUUCAACAUGGGCAUUUGAAAAUUAAGUCAGUGAAAUUUACUGUUCAUUAUUCCUCUGGAAAAUUCAGGCUUAAAUUGAAAGUCUUUUCAAUAGUGCUGAGUUCCUCGAAACUGUCAUUGCUUUUCAAAGGAGCUCAGUUGCUUUAAAAUAACUACAUUUUAUCUGUGGUCUUAGCAGCCCAACCUUAUGGACUGACAGUUUUAUUACAGAAACUUAAAGUGUGUUAGGACUUCAAACAGAGAAAAAAUGGCUUCUUCUGAGUCUUUUCUUAGUUUCACAAAGCAAUUCAUGACUAUGAAAAAAUUCCUGUGAUUGAAGCAUAAAUAAUGUUGCAGUAACAACCUCAUAUAAGAUGGGAAUGGCUGAGGGGACAGAGAAACAACAUUUUUUCUAAAGGAUUUCAUCAUUCAUUCCUCUCUGCUUUUCUGUCCUGCUUUGGGAAAGAUGUAACAUCUGCAGAGCUGAAGAGCACAGCCAACAACCAGUUGCUUCUCCCAGCUUGCACCUGCCCUGCUUGAGGUCAGACUUCUCUACAACAGAUUUAUCUCAGAACUCAUUCAAGAGGCCCAGAACUCUACUUCUCUCCUUCCCACUCAUAUCCAUAGGAAGGUGAGCACCAUCUGCUUGUUUGAAGGCUGCUGCCCCCAACUGGCAUGAAGAGGUGAAGGAUGUGGAACCUGCGCAGGACAGGUCUUUCCUGACUGCUGAAUGUGAGAAACAUCACGGAGGGAGGAAGGGGACGUGAGUUCCAGAGACAGCACUGUGAUUGCAGGGAGCAUGGGCAGACAUACGUUUUGGUAGCACACAAUUUUUCCACCCUAAAAGAUUUUAUUUCCAUCUGGAUGGAGUAGUGACAUAGGCUGACAGUAGAAGUAGGUUGUUGCAGAGGUUUAGGAAUGUUGGUCGAAAGAAGACAGAGAAACAGCCUUUAUUACCCAGCUGGAGGGAGUUUCAAGCAGGUUGAGGAACCUGGAGUAUGCAAGAUGUUAUUUUGCAUUCUUUCCAAACUACUGUGAGAAUUUUCUCACAGCAGGAAAUGAGCAGAGAAGUAGCUGCUCCUUUGGGUCCCAGUUCCCAUUCUGGGCUGCUGCUGGCGUCCACGUGCCACUGCCUCUGAUUCCUCCUGUAGUGAUCCCAGUGGCUCAGUUUAGCCCUUCAUGGCUCACUUCAGCCAAUUCUAUCACCUGAUAUAGAAAGAAUAAAUCACCAUUUCCAGGAACGGCAGCACCGUAGACAAAACACAAUUGAAAUACAAUUCUCCUGGAGUGAGAAGCAUGAAUAUAGCUCAGUAUGUCAUCUCUUGGUUUAGCCUACAGAAUCAGUGUGGUGAACACCACGGUUCUGAUUUCUUGAUGUAAUCUUUGCUAUGUGGCUCUGGGCAGCCUGGUCUGGUGGUUGGCCACUCUACAUAUAGCAGGGGGGGUUGAAACUGGAUGAUCAUUGUGGUGCUUUUCAGCCCAGGUCAUUCUAUGAUUCUUUGAUUCUAUGAAAGACUUCAACGUUUAUGUCUGGAAAAAAUCCAGAUCUGUAUAAACUGGAGCACAUUAUUGUGUGUAUUAAAAUGUUCACAUGGUAUUAUCCCACAACCCUUCCCAUAUUUAUUUUGGAAAUCAUUACAUCUGGAAAAUGGGAAAACUUCCAGUUAAUUCUAUUACCUUGAAAUAUCAGCAAACACAAGGGGAUGUUGAGAUUAUUCCCUGCUAGAAAAGAAAAAAAGAGCAAGUAGGAUUCAGGACUAUAAGCCAAAAGAGAAUCCUUCUUCAAAUAAUGCAACAUGGCUUAAGCUUACCAUUGGGAAAACAAGGAUGAAAAGUGAUUCUUAAAGGGCCUCUGUACUCAGCUCUGGGGAGGAUGUGCCUUGAGUACGGUGUUUGUUUUUGGGCCCCUCGAAAAGACACUGAGGCCUUGGAGCACGUCCAGAGAAGGGCAGCUGAGAUGUGAGUGGUCUGGAGCACGAAUCUUAUGGGGACUGGCUGAGGGAACUGGGAUUGUCCCGUCUGCAGAAGAGGAGGUGCAGGAGACCUUAUUGCUCUCCACAGC